rnacentral:tRNA from 1 species
GGGAUAUUAGCUUAGUGGUAAAGCCCUUCUCUGUGGCAGAAGUGACACGGGUUCAAUUCCCGUAUAUCCCCCCA